GCUCAGUAACACGUAGGUAACCUACCCUCAGGACUGAGAUAACCCCGGGAAACUGGGGCUAAUAUUAGAUAGAUAAAAGGUACUGGAAUGUUCUUUUAUCCAAAGCUUUUGCGCCUGAGGAUGGGCCUGCGUCCGAUUAGGUUGUUGGUGGGGUAAUGGCCCACCAAGCCUGCGAUCGGUACGGGCAGUGAGAGCUGAAGCCCGGAGUUGGGGACUGAGACAAGGCCCCAGGCCCUACGGGGCGCAGCAGGCGCGAAACCUCUGCAAUGCGGGAAACCGUGACAGGGGGAUCCCAAGUGCUCAUGCAUUGCAUGGGCUGUUCUUUGGUCUAAGUAACCAGGGGAGUAAGGGCUGGGCAAGACCGGUGCCAGCCGCCGCGGUAAUACCGGCAGCUCAAGUGGUAGCCGCGAUUAUUGGGCCUAAAGCGUUCGUAGCCGGAUAAGUAAGUCUUUGGUUAAAUCCUGCAACUCAACUGUGGGAAAUCUAGGGAUACUGCUUGUCUUGAGACCGGGAGAGGUUAGAGGUACUCCUAGGGUAGGGGUGAAAUCCUGUAAUCCUAGGGGGACCACCUGUGGCGAAGGCGUCUAACUGGAACGGGUCUGACGGUGAGGGACGAAACCUAGGGGAACGAGCCGGAUUAGAUACCCGGGUAGUCCUAGGCGUAAAUGAUGCGAGUUAAGUGUG
rnacentral:rRNA from 1 species